GUGUCAUUAGCUUGUUUCCGGUGCACAAUUCAUAUAAACGGUUUACUGAGGUUAGUUUAGUUCCUGCUUUUAGAUAGUAACUAUUUGUUAGCCCAACGACCUUUGUCCGGUAGAGCAGCAGUCCCAGACAGGAUCUGGUAACUGAUCAGAGUUUUGCUGUGUUCCUCUUGACUUCCACUUCUGUGCCCCGCUGGCCAUAUUUUCUUCAUCUCCAAAGAUGGUCUCUUCCUAGUAUGUCCCUCCAGUUAGCAGCUCUGAAAACUGGCCCAAUGCACUGCUUUCUCCUGAGCAACUCCAAUCAUCUAAAUGACUUCAGCAACUAAGUGGUUCUGUUCUACGUCAUCAGCUGGGACUGCUGGGACUGCUCUUCAUUUCAAACAGCAACACUCCUUCCAUGUCUGAGAGCUCAAGUUGAAGGCUGAACAGUGAUUUCUGCACUGCUCAUUUUCUUUCAGAAAGCGUGUACUGCUUCCUGUGUUUCUAUUUCUGUUUCCAAACCACCAAGAAAGGGAAAAAAAGCAGCGGAACAGAGACUCAAACACACGUGAAGUACCAAGCUGGACAACUCAGCAUGAUACUAGAAAUACCUAGAUGUGAGGUUUGGCAUUUAUGGGAUAUUAACAUUAAGUGCUUCAGAAGAUAAACAAGAGAAUUAAACAACAGAUAGCACAGCCAGCUAUGUACAUCAGGGCCACCUCUUAGGAACCGAUCCCUUCAAGAUAUUUGUGCCUAUAGAAGGAAAUGCAAAUGAAGGUGGGUGGGGAUACGUGUAUCGGGUUAAGCUCUUAUAUCAAUAUACAAGAGCUCCACGCCCUUAUCUCUUUAGAUAACUACAACAUAUUUUUGUUCUACCAACAACAGGAACAAUCAGUCAACCACUAAGUCUGGGCUAGAGCGCUAGUAGCUGGGGUGACCCUGGCUAUUUGUUUGUUGACAGAUUACUGAGCUGUUUAGAAAAGGAGUGAUACUGCUGACAUUUGGUUCACCUCUGCAGGUGACACCUCCAGCCCUCUAUGCAUUACAGUUUCCUGUACAGCUGGAAAAAACCCAACCCCCCAAAAAACCGUUUACGAGUAAAAAAAUCAGGGAGGAAAAGGGAACUUUUUGCUGCCCACAGCAUAUGCAUAACAGCAACAGGGGCAGUCUGUGCAUGAGAAAUAGAUUGUUCAGUGGUUUGUCUUCCACUUUAUGUGGAAUAUCCUGAGCACUGCUUCCAAUAUUCAUCUAUUUAAAGAGGAUUCAAUACUUAUAAAAUAGAUGCUUUGCUGAAGACAUUGUGCUGCAUUUGCCACCAGGGUGUGGAAAUAACAGAUGUUUUCAGGUUUAACCCUGGGCAAUGCCUUCAUGAAGGCUGCAAGAGGGCAGAACUCCUGUUUCUGCUUUCAGAAAAUGGUGGUGCUAACAUGCAAGGAAAAGGAGAGCACCAGUACAAAUACUGCCCUCUAUUCUAUAGCUACUCAUGUAACUACAACAGCCUGUGAGAUGCACUUCCCCUGUUGAAACUCAGCAGAGACUAUUCAGGUAGUAAUGGUGACCUCUGUUUAUCAUCCACCCUUCCCAGCUCUCUGAAGCCUAUGGAUUCCUGCAGUAGGUUGCACGUAUAUUCACUAACUCUGGUUCUAAAUGUAGUGGUUUCUGUUGUUUCUUUUUUUUUCUUCUUCCCUUUUCAGGCCCCUGAAAAUGUGACAGGCCAGCUCAUUAGCAUAACAGUAAGGUGUCCCAGCAUGUCUGAUGCAAAAGUUUUCAGACAUUGCUGGCAGGAAGAUGCUAGCAUACAGAUAACAAAGCUACUAAUGUUCUCUUCCACUUCAGCUUGGCCAGUAAAGGCUUUGGAUCUCGUUAGGAAUUCCUCUUCUUAUUUAUUUAUUUUUCUGGUUUCUGUGGUAUGAAGUAUGCAUCCCUCGGGAUUCUUCUUCAGAAACAUGUCAGCUUGAGGUUUCUUUUUAUUUCCAGCAAACAAGAAGAUAAUUGAAACCCUUCCUGAGUUACAGCUAUGUUUCCUGCUGGAGAGACUGACAGAUCCAGCAAAGAACAGAGGACACUGAAAAUGUGAACGAACAUGUUGCUGAGUUUGCCACGUUAUUCCCUUCAUAUUUUUUACAUAUACAACAUUUUCCUGGUUGGGACUACAGGUACAAAAUCUUAAAAGGCAAAUCACAAGAGAUACUUGAAAACCAGAAAAGAGCAGAAAUAUUUUUAUGUAUCUGUAGUUAAUGAACAUGCCAAACCCAUCGCUCUACCAAACAGCAUGCCAGCCUGGCUGCUGAGGGACAUGAGAAAUGCAGAUCCCACGGUCAUUCACCACCUGGUUUCUCUGCCAAGAGUUUCUAUGGCCACCUGUCAGUUGUGGAGGGGAUCUUGUCUGUUCUAGAAACAGCUGCCCAGGAUGCACAGUGCUGAGAUCCUUUACAGUAGAACAUUCAUCUUCUACUAUAUCUGCAAUAAGCCUUAUCCCAUGGAUGACUUUGGUAUAACAUGAAGCCCACCUGCAACACACAGUAACUACUGAAAGCUAGUAUAGUUGUAGGGCAUAAUGCAGUUUUUGCCUGACACAAUGGGAGUAAACAGACACUCAGGGUUGGUGCUGACAGCAACUAGAGAUAGCUGGAGAAUUUUUCUUCCUUCACUGGAAAUGGAAAUGUAUCAAUUUCUCCCAGAAAAAAAAAAUCAGCUGAAAUAAAAAUUUUAUCAGAGGAAAGUUUCCAUUGUAUGGCCUUGCAUGUUUGAAUGCAUCUCUUGCAUGAUCUGACAUCUAAAUUUCUCAAAGGAUUUGAUGUGGGAACCUCAGAUACAAUCUUGGGUUUUAUCAAGCCUGAAAAACCUACAUUGGACAUUUCAGAUUAGAGUUAUCUAUCAAAUUCAUAACCAGGAUAUUCUAACUACAAGUAAACUACAGAUUUCCCAAAGAUUACAAGAGACAAGGAAAAAAAAUCACACUGUAUUUUUACAUGAUGGUAGAAGUGCACUGAAGUACUGUUUCCCACUUUCAUAUUGAAAAGGAAAGGUCAUUUUAGCAUCAAAUUACUUCUGUCUUACACUUGAGUUACAUUUAAAUAUACAUUUCAUAAAUGAAGUAUCAUUGCUCAAGUCUUUAAGCUGUAUUGAGUUCACGGCACAAAAAGCCCAGACCUUAUGGUGUCUGUUUUAUCAUACAGAAGUCUACAUAAAAGAAAAUUAGGAAAAAAAAAGAACGUUGUGAAAUUACUCGAAUUAUUACUUUUUUAAUAAUAAAGUUUGCUCUCUAAUAUGAACCAGGAAGUGAAGAGUUGUAGCUCUCACAGUCUCAGACUAAACAUCGGGUCGUGGUUCUUUUUGGCUUCUGUUUAAAAAGGCUAAUUGAUUUGGAAGAGAAAGAC
ensembl:lncRNA